rnacentral:rRNA from 1 species
UACGUAGGUGGCAAGCGUUAUUCGGAUUUAUUGGGCGUAAAGGGUUCGUAGGGGGUUGUAUAAGUUUGAUGUGAAAUCUCCGGGCUCAACCCGGAAACUGCAUUGGAUACUGUACGACUUGAGUAUCGGAGAGGUAAGUGGAAUUCCUGGUGUAGCGGUGGAAUGCGUAGAUAUCAGGAGGAACACCGAUGGCGAAGGCAGCUUACUGGCCGAUUACUGACCCUGAGGAACGAAAGCUGGGGUAGCAAACAGG